rnacentral:rRNA from 1 species
ACGGAGAGUUAGCAAUAACUCUUAGUGGCGAACGGGUGAGUAACGCGUAGACAACCUACCUUUUAGAUGGGGACAACAAUCCGAAAGGGUUGCUAAUACCGAAUAAGGUCCUUUGGGCGCAUGCCUGAGGGAAGAAAGGCGGCCUCUAUAUAUAAGCUGCCGCUAAAAGAUGGGUCUGCGUCUGAUUAGCUAGUUGGUGGGGUAAAGGCCUACCAAGGCAACGAUCAGUAGCCGGUCUGAGAGGAUGAACGGCCACACUGGGACUGAGACACGGCCCAGACUCCUACGGGAGGCAGCAGUGGGGAAUCUUCCGCAAUGGACGAAAGUCUGACGGAGCAACGCCGCGUGAGUGACGAAGGUUUUCGGAUCGUAAAACUCUGUUGUCCGGGACGAAAGAGCUUUAUGUAAAUAGCGUAGAGCAGUGACGGUACCGGAAAAGAAAGCCACGGCUAACUACGUGCCAGCAGCCGCGGUAAUACGUAGGUGGCGAGCGUUGUCCGGAAUUAUUGGGCGUAAAGGGCGUGUAGGCGGGAUAGUAAGCGUAAUGUUAAAGUCCGGGGCUUAACCUCGGAUCGCAGUACGAACUGCUAUUCUUGAGAGCAGGAGAGGAAAGUGGAAUUCCCAGUGUAGCGGUGAAAUGCGUAGAUAUUGGGAGGAACACCAGUGGCGAAG